AAAUUGAAGAGUUUGAUCAUGGCUCAGAUUGAACGCUGGCGGCAGGCCUAACACAUGCAAGUCGAACGGUAACAGGAAGCAGCUUGCUGUUUUGCUGACGAGUGGCGGACGGGUGAGUAAUGUCUGGGAAACUGCCUGAUGGAGGGGGAUAACUACUGGAAACGGUAGCUAAUACCGCAUAACGUCGCAAGACCAAAGAGGGGGACCUUAGGGCCUCUUGCCAUCGGAUGUGCCCAGAUGGGAUUAGCUAGUAGGUGGGGUAACGGCUCACCUAGGCGACGAUCCCUAGCUGGUCUGAGAGGAUGACCAGCCACACUGGAACUGAGACACGGUCCAGACUCCUACGGGAGGCAGCAGUGGGGAAUAUUGCACAAUGGGCGCAAGCCUGAUGCAGCCAUGCCGCGUGUAUGAAGAAGGCCUUCGGGUUGUAAAGUACUUUCAGCGGGGAGGAAGGGAGUAAAGUUAAUACCUUUGCUCAUUGACGUUACCCGCAGAAGAAGCACCGGCUAACUCCGUGCCAGCAGCCGCGGUAAUACGGAGGGUGCAAGCGUUAAUCGGAAUUACUGGGCGUAAAGCGCACGCAGGCGGUUUGUUAAGUCAGAUGUGAAAUCCCCGGGCUCAACCUGGGAACUGCAUCUGAUACUGGCAAGCUUGAGUCUCGUAGAGGGGGGUAGAAUUCCAGGUGUAGCGGUGAAAUGCGUAGAGAUCUGGAGGAAUACCGGUGGCGAAGGCGGCCCCCUGGACGAAGACUGACGCUCAGGUGCGAAAGCGUGGGGAGCAAACAGGAUUAGAUACCCUGGUAGUCCACGCCGUAAACGAUGUCGACUUGGAGGUUGUGCCCUUGAGGCGUGGCUUCCGGAGCUAACGCGUUAAGUCGACCGCCUGGGGAGUACGGCCGCAAGGUUAAAACUCAAAUGAAUUGACGGGGGCCCGCACAAGCGGUGGAGCAUGUGGUUUAAUUCGAUGCAACGCGAAGAACCUUACCUGGUCUUGACAUCCACGGAAGUUUUCAGAGAUGAGAAUGUGCCUUCGGGAACCGUGAGACAGGUGCUGCAUGGCUGUCGUCAGCUCGUGUUGUGAAAUGUUGGGUUAAGUCCCGCAACGAGCGCAACCCUUAUCCUUUGUUGCCAGCGGUCCGGCCGGGAACUCAAAGGAGACUGCCAGUGAUAAACUGGAGGAAGGUGGGGAUGACGUCAAGUCAUCAUGGCCCUUACGACCAGGGCUACACACGUGCUACAAUGGCGCAUACAAAGAGAAGCGACCUCGCGAGAGCAAGCGGACCUCAUAAAGUGCGUCGUAGUCCGGAUUGGAGUCUGCAACUCGACUCCAUGAAGUCGGAAUCGCUAGUAAUCGUGGAUCAGAAUGCCACGGUGAAUACGUUCCCGGGCCUUGUACACACCGCCCGUCACACCAUGGGAGUGGGUUGCAAAAGAAGUAGGUAGCUUAACCUUCGGGAGGGCGCUUACCACUUUGUGAUUCAUGACUGGGGUGAAGUCGUAACAAGGUAACCGUAGGGGAACCUGCGGUUGGAUCACCUCCUUA
rnacentral:rRNA from 3 species